rnacentral:rRNA from 1 species
GUGCCAGCAGCCGCGGUAAGACGAACCGAGCGAACGUUGUUCGGAAUCACUGGGCUUAAAGGGCGCGUAGGCGGGUGAUCAAGUCAGGGGUGAAAGCCUCCAGCUCAACUGGAGAAGUGCCUCUGAUACUGGUCGUCUCGAGGGAGAUAGGGGCGUGCGGAACUUCCGGUGGAGCGGUGAAAUGCGUAGAUAUCGGAAGGAACACCGAUGGCGAAAGCAGCGCGCUGGAUCUCUUCUGACGCUGAGGCGCGAAAGCCAGGGGAGCGAACGGGAUUAGAUACCCCCGUAGUCC